UAGCUACUGUCAAAUUACUAUUUAUAGUACAUUACCAUUGACCCAUUACUGGCCAUACGUCUACUUCUAUUGUUAGUACUUUUUUUCAUAUAAAUAAACCCUGUACCUGCAACGGGAAAAUCAUCUCGUCAGAUAUUUUUUCCAUCUCUCGCUGGCAAGAAGUCGAAUGUGUUAUCUGAUUGUUCCAACUAUUUGUUGAAACGUUCCCUUGGCCAGAGAAACGGCAUGUCCGAUGUGCACUCAGCCAUCUGAUUUGUGCUGCCGAUCUUCGACAUCAUCCACGAAGUUCCGUAUAAAAAUGUUGCCGAUGGUGUUCGAAAACUGUUCGAUAAUUCCUUGUAGAUUUAAAGAAAGACUGGAGAACUUAUGCCCAUCGAAUAUAUUAAAGGCAAAA